UGAAAGGCGGAGCCCACUUCAGAAGGGGUAGGACCUGAAAUUCUGCAUUUCUAACAUUGCCCCCAGGUGAUGCAGAAGCUUCUGGUCCAUUCCCACCAACGUAGCAAGGGCUAGGAGGACAGCGCUCCCCAGCUUUGCUCUCAUCUGUGGACAAAGGACUGCGAUAUUGGGGAAAACUACUCAUCUGAAACCUGCUGGCCAACGUUCAUUCAUUCAUUCAUUCAUUCAUCAUUCCCCACUACCACCACUACCAAAACAGGGCUCAUAAAGGUUACCUAGGACUCCAACAUUGCAAAAGCUAAAGGUAUGAUACAAAAAAAGUUAUUGCCUCUCUGACAACAAGCAGGGAGCCUGAAUCUCUGUGAUCCCCUGGCCCUGUCACUUGUCCUAUAGAAAGAGAGAAGACAUCGUGGGGAGAGGGAGCUUCAGACCUUGGGUCUUAAUUACCUACACAGGGUUUGGGCACUGCUAUUCAUUUAGCCCUUAACUGACCUGUCC